UGCCGGCCCCAGGCUGGGCUGGGCCGGGCCGGGCGAGUGUCUCUUCCAAAGGCUCCCCCUCAAGCAGGACUAGGAGC
rnacentral:pre_miRNA from 1 species